CAUUUGAUAACUUAAGGAUAAGUGUGAGCCUUUUAAGCUUGAAAUAGUGAUUACUUCAGAUGA
rnacentral:tRNA from 1 species